rnacentral:piRNA from 1 species
UUCAGCGCGUGCUUGUCUGGAUCGUUC